rnacentral:rRNA from 1 species
UACGAAGGGGGCUAGCGUUGCUCGGAAUGACUGGGCGUACAGGGCGCGUAGGCGGUUCAUACAGUCAGAUGUGAAAUUCCUGGGCUCAACCUGGGGGCUGCAUUUGAUACGUGUGGACUAGAGUGGGGAAGAGGGUCGUGGAAUUCCCAGUGUAGAGGUGAAAUUCGUAGAUAUUGGGAAGAACACCGGUGGCGAAGGCGGCGACCUGGUCCUUGACUGACGCUGAGGCGCGAAAGCGUGGGGAGCAAACAGG